CUCAGAUUACUAUUCUCAGUGUCUGACAACAUGAUAGAAAGGAUCCCUGCAGAGACACCUUUUGGUUAAAGAGUAAGAUUUUUGUUUA